AUGGAGACCAAGAGAGCAAGGGCUCUCUACAAUGUGGCCACUGAGCUGAUUUUCCUUUUAGACCUGGCACAAGAGGAGAGGCAAUUAACUGAUGAAGAAAACGCUCUUAGAAAGAUGCUCAAGCUAAAGCUUCUGGGGUUUGCUGCUGUGGAAAGAAUGCGGUGGCGCCAGCGCUCACGGUUAACAAGGAUCCGUGUUGGAAACGCCAAUACUAAGCUCUUUCAUCUACGGGCAAAUGGGAGGAGGAGGAAGAAUCACAUACCUACCCUUCAGGGGCCUUCCGGCAUGGUCCACGAGCACACUGAGAAAGCCAAAAUUCCGCUUGAUCACUUCAAGUCGCUAAUGGGGAAGGCACAACAUCGCAGCCACACAAUAAACUAG
rnacentral:rRNA from 1 species